UAUAAAGCUCAUGCUGUUGUGUUUCC
rnacentral:piRNA from 1 species